rnacentral:sRNA from 1 species
GCCCCGGUGGCCGAAUGGGUAAUGCGGCCGCCUGGUAGCGCCUUGGCGUGGGGACCCAAGGCGCGUGGGUUCGAAACCCGCAGGGGACAACAUUACAUCCGGAGCCAACUUCUCAGCUCCUAAAAUAAUGGGAUGUGAACCUGCCAAGUAGGUACCUUCGGGCGGACCUACUACUUGAUUUAGCUGAUUUUUCCUGGGCUGGGAACCUGUAUUGCAUGUACCAAAUCCUGUCUUUCAUUAAUUUUCCUAUGUUCCUGUUAUAUUCUUGGCGUCGUUCAACACUAAGCAUUCCUCCUGUAUAACCAACUCUUGCCUGUAUUUAACAUCACACAAGGACUCGUCAUAAGCACUGCUUGCAUACGAGUAUAACGGAAGAAUAAUAAUAAUCAGAGA